UACGAAGGGUGCUAGCGUUGUUCGGAAUUACUGGGCGUAAAGCGCGCGCAGGCGGUCUUCCAAGUCAGUGGUGAAAGCCCGGAGCUCAACUCCGGAACUGCCAUUGAAACUGUUUAGCUUGAGGACGAGAGAGGUGAGUGGAACUGCGAGUGUAGAGGUGAAAUUCGUAGAUAUUCGCAAGAACACCAGUGGCGAAGGCGGCUCACUGGCUCAUUACUGACGCUCAGGCGCGACAGCGUGGGGAUCAAACAGG
rnacentral:rRNA from 1 species